GUAGUCCUGGCUGUAAACUCUGCCCGCUUGGUGUGGCUUGUACUUCGGGUGCAGGCUGUGCCGGAGCGAAGGUGUUAAGCGGGCUGCUUGGGGAGUACGGCCGCAAGGUUGAAACUUAAAGGAAUUGGCGGGGGAGCACCGCAACGGGAGGAUGCGUGCGGUUUAAUUGGAUUCAACGCCGGAAAACUCACCUGAGGCGACCAGCGUAUGUGGGUCGGGCCGAAGACCUUACUCGAACAAAAGCUGGAGAGGUGGUGCAUGGCCAUCGUCAGCUCGUACCGUAGGGCAUUCACUUAAGUGUGAUAACGAGCGAGACCCCCAUCCCUAGUUGCCAACUUUUCCGAAAGGAAGGGUGCACUCUAGGGAGACCGCUUCUGCUAAAGAAGAGGAAGGAGGGGUCGACGGUAGGUCAGUAUGCCCCGAAUCCUCAGGGCUACACGCGCGCUACAAAGGACAGGACAAAGGGCUCCAACCCCGAAAGGGGAAGGUAAUCCCAAAACUUGUUCGUAGUCCGGAUUGAGGGCUGUAACUCGCCCUCAUGAAGAUGGAUUCCGUAGUAAUCGCGGAUCAACAGUCCGCGGUGAAUAUGCCCCUGCUCCUUGCACACACUGCCCGUCAAACCAUCCGAGUUGGUUUUGGGUGAGGCCCUGUCGUUGUGGCAGGUUCGAACCCAAGGUCGGCGAGGAGGGUUAAGUCGUAACAAGGUAUCCGUAGGGGAACCUGCGGCUGGAUCACCUCC
rnacentral:rRNA from 1 species